rnacentral:tRNA from 1 species
GCCCUCGUAGUGUAGUCUGGUCUAUCAUCUGGGACUGUCACUCCCAGGACCCGGGUUCAAAAUCGCGCAGUGAAGACA